rnacentral:lncRNA from 1 species
CCUGGGGAGGGGGACUGUAGUGGAGAGGGAGUAGGGAAUAAAAAGGGAUGAAGGAGGAAAAGCAGACAGACUAACAGACAAGGAGGGAGGGAGACACAGUCAGAGGAAGAGAUAGACACACUAUCGCAGCUAUGCCCGAAGCCAAGAAGCCAGAGGCAGAGCCUGAAGAAAUUGCUGCCAAGACAGAUAAGGCUGCAGCAGCACCUGCUGGUGAGUCCACUCAUAACAAAUGGAUGACAAAUACUUUUACAUGAAAUACUUCAAUGAAUGGUUAGGCCUAUACUAAAAUCAAUGUCUGAUUCAAUUUUUCUCCUCUUUUUUUUUACAGAUAAGGGUGGGUGAGAACAGGACGUGUGUGCGUGUUAACUUGUGUCCCUUUGUGUGUGUUUGUGUUAGUCAGUAGGGCAUAAUCAUCCCCUCAUCAUUCCAAUGUAAUGUCGGUUAACUGUUUUCCCUCACUCAGCGAAGCCAGCGGAGGAUCAUGGUAAGGCCUCUAAGACCAAUCACAGAAGUAGCUUUCUGUGGGGAUGAGACUGAGAGUGGCCAUGCAUGAUUCUCACCACGCACCAUGACAGUGUUGAUCAGAUAGAACGACAAUACACUUAGGGCUUCACACGUUUAUAUUCACGCCUAUCACAAUUUCCUACUGGUUUAAGCAUGACAAAGCAGACUAUAUUCAUUUAAAUGAAAUAUUAGUCAUUAUUCUUCUGAUUCUUACUGGGUUUUUUUUAUUACCUGAGAUAACAGGUCACCAAUCAGUUGGUAAGAACUA